UAUACCAUGUUCCAUGAGCUGAACAUACAUAUUUUGUUUAACUGCAUUCAGUCAACAAUUGCUCUAGUGUCAAUAUGAUUUUACUCCCUUGCUUUCACCACUGUCCUAACCUAGCAAUUGGCAAUUAUGCUGAUUUCUUUUUCAUAUAGAUACCAACUGAAAAAUCAUCUCUAGCAUGUGAAUCUCUGGAUUCUUGACUAUCCUCUUCACAUCCAAAACUUUUAGAUAUUCUAGGAAAACUUGUCUCUGUAUGCGAAGGUAGUGCCAUCAUCCGUCACUCUCAAAUAUCUCCUUGUUCUCCUGCGUCACCCUCAUUGAAGUCUCC
rnacentral:lncRNA from 1 species